rnacentral:rRNA from 1 species
GACGAACGCUGGCGGCGUGCUUAACACAUGCAAGUCGAACGAAGUGGCGAACGGGUGAGUAACGCGUAAUCAACCUGCCCUUCAGAGGGGGACAACAGUUGGAAACGACUGAUAAUACCGCAUACUGAAGGAGGGGAUUGCGUCUGAUUAGCUAGUUGGAGGGGUAACGGCCCACCAAGGCGAGGAUCAGUAGCCGGUCGGAGAGGAUGACCGGCCACACUGGGACUGAGACACGGCCCAGACUCCUACGGGAGGCAGCAGUGGGGAAUUUUGGACAAUGGGCGAAACCCUGAUGCAGCCAUCCCGCGUGUGCGAAGAAGGCCUUCGGGUUGUAAAGUACUUUCGGUAGGAAAGCGGUACCUGCAGAAUAAGCACCGGCUAACUACGUGCCAGCAGCCGCGGUAAUAC